rnacentral:lncRNA from 1 species
GUCGAUUUGAUGAGCUCUCCAACAAGCCCGAUGUUCCUGCUGAUGAUUAGUCUACAAAGUAUCUAAUGGGCAAUUCUCCAUGGAGAGAAUGGUCAUUGCUCAUUGAGAGGAUGGUGAAUGGCUUUUGAUUAGAUUUUAGGGAACAGGGAUGCCUCCAAAAUGAUCCCAUUGGCUAGGACUUUGAAGAGGACAAACUCUUGUAAGAACAGGACCUCCACUGUGCCAGCAUCUAAAGGUGCAUUUCCCCUAGUCUUCGGAGAAGAGUUUUUUAUCAUGGAUGUGUACCUUCUGCUUGCAUCUCAAACAUCACUAGAUUCUCUGAGAUGAGAAAACUGAGGUAUGGAGACGCUAAGUGAGAGACCCAGAGCCACAAAGCUAGCAAGCAUCAGAAGCCAGAUCUGAACCUAGGUUUUCCCAACUCCAAGCCCACCAUUCUAUUCGUUCCAGAGGCCAUGCUAUCUCUAUAGAGAAGGAAUGACUAUUUUCAACUCUAUCCUGAGGUUUG